rnacentral:tRNA from 1 species
GCUUAUUUGGUGAAAUUUAGGUAAACACGUUAGAUUUAAAAUCUAAUCCAAAUACGGUUGCUGGUUCAAGUCCAGUAGUAAGCA